CGCAGUGACAGGUGGUGCAUGGCUGUCGUCAGCUCGUGUCGUGAGAUGUUGGGUUAAGUCCCGCAACGAGCGCAACCCACGUCGUUAGUUGCCAGCAUUCAGUUGGGCACUCUAGCGAGACCGCCGGUGAUAAACCGGAGGAAGGUGUGGAUGACGUCAAGUCAUCAUGCCCCUUACAUCCUGGGCUACACACGUACUACAAUGCUACGGACAAAGGGCCGCAAGCUCGCGAGAGUUAGCAAAUCCCAUAAACCGUGGCUCAGUUCAGAUCGUAGGCUGCAACUCGCCUACGUGAGGGAGGAAUCGCUAGUAAUCGCAGGUCAGCAUACUGCGGUGAAUACGCUCCCGGGCCUUGUACACACCGCCCGUCACACCAUGGAAGUGGCCACG
rnacentral:rRNA from 1 species